AAGUAUUGUUGAUUCUUGAAGCAUGCCCUGUUAGCUGUUUCAUUCCUCUUUUAUACCCUUUAGUUCAGCAUCUUCAAAGCAUUCUUGUAGUUGUGUAAAUCAAGGUAGUCCCAAGCAAUAAUUGACAGGAAAAUCCUGUUAACCAAACUG